UUGGUUAGCAACUCAAAGGCACCAGUCACUGUGUCUACUUCGACUACUGGGGGAAAGGAACCAAAGUCACCGUUUCCUCAGCUCAACCAUCUCCACCAAAGUCAAUCUUCGCCAUGUCCCAGUGUACUCCUGAUUCUACUGGGUUCUUCACCAUCGGCUGCAUGGCAAGAGGUUUCUCACCUGCGGACUCGCUUACUUUUAAAUGGACGGAUUAUAAUACGAAGGAGUUGAGUGAUUUCGUGCAGUAUGCAGCAUUCGGGAGUGGUGGAGAAAUAUACCAAAAUUAGCCAUAUGCGCAUUAGUAAAAGCGAUUGGAAUCCACAAAAACCAUACAAGUGCGAAGCUUCAAAUCCUGCCGGCAAAAAAUAAUCCCUUAUUGCUCCAGGUCCAAGAAAUCCAACCCUGAGCUUGGUUCCUGUCACAACUCUAAAAAGUAAAUCUGUCAUGUGUAUUAUUGAAGAUUUCAACCCCCAAACAACCUCUUGGUACAAUGGAAAAUAAAUAAUACAAACAGCAUGAGCCAGCUAAAACUGGAAAGUAAACUUAAUAAUCAAGGUUAUUAUAACGGAUACAGUUUUUAUGAAGUCAGCAGUGACAACUGGGAUGUGGAUACUCAGUAUACUUGUGAGGUCACACACCAGGGAAAACAGUUUAACACCAAGGCAAACUUCAAAGCUAAAUUGUCACUGACAAUGGAGUCACCAAUUCAGAAAGAACUAUUUGAUAAUGAUAAAAUUGUCUUGCAAGCUGUUGUUUCUGGAGAUGUAAAAGUGCAAGAUACUUCAGUAUCAUGUAAAGUGAAGGAUGAAAGUGUACCCACUGAGAAUAUCACAACAGGGAAUGUUGAAUUUUCUACUGACACUUCACAAUUUAAAAGAAUUCACAAUGUCACUGUUGAUACAAAGAAAUGGUUUGAUGGUGAAAUGGUCAUCUGCACCAUCCGUGACACAAAUAAUAACAGAGACAUCAACCAGGAGAUCCGUUUUCAAAAAGGAGAUGGAAAUAAGCCCACUGUUACCAUUUACAAACCAGAUAACGUCAAAGAUCAUAUCUCUCAUGUGUGUGAGGUCACCAGCCCUAAACUCGGCGAUGUCUAUGUAAUAUGGACAGUGGGUAAUGAGCCUUACAUAGAGGGCGGAACCAGUGCUCGCAUCCAUCAAAAGGACUCCAUGUCUGUUCUCAGCAUACUAACAAUGUCAAAACAAGAGUACGAACAUCCCAGAACCACCAUCACCUGUGCAGUCAUUCACGCCAAUAUGGACAAUAGAAGAGCUCCAUUACAAGUGUCAACAAGCCAAACUAAAUUGUCACUGACGGUGAAGCCACCAAUUCAGAAAAUACUAUUUGUUAAUGAUACAGUUGUCUUGCAAGCUGUUGUUUCUGGAGAUGUAAAAAAUACAGUGCAAGAUACUUCAGUAUCAUGUAAAGUGAAGGAUGAAAGUGUGCCCAAUAAGAAUAUCACAACAGGGAAUGUUGAAUUUUCUAAUGACACUUCACAAUUUAAAAGAAUUCACGAUGUCAUCAUUAAUACAAAGAAAUGGUUUGAUGGUGAAAUGGUCAUCUGCACCAUCCGUGACACAAAUAAUAACAGAGACAUCGAGCAGGAGAUCCGUUUUGAAACAGGAGAUGGAAAUAAGCCCACUGUUACCAUUUACAAACCCGAUAACAUCAAAGAUCAUAUCUCUCAUGUGUGUGAGGUCACCAGCCCUAAACUCGGCGAUGUCUAUGUAAUAUGGAAAGUGGGUGAUGAGCCUUACAUAGAGGGCGGAACCAGUGCUCCCAUCCAUCAAAAGGACUCCACGUCUGUUUUCAGCAUCCUAACAAUGACAAAAGAAGAGUAUGAACAGCUCAGCACCACCAUCACCUGUGCAGUCAUUCAUGCCAACAUGGACAAUAGAAGAGCUCCAUUACAAGUGUCAACAAGCCAAAGUGAGCCACCAGAGCCAGGGACAGGCUUUGCUCUGGACUGCAAUAAAGAUGUUCUUGAGGAGGAUGAGUUCAGAAGUCUCUGGUCCACUGCCACCUCAUUCAUCUUCCUCUUCCUCUUCUCUCUGACCUACAGCGCUGUGCUCAGCCUCUUCAAGGUGAAGCAGUGAUGAUUUGUAAAAAGAACUUGUGAAGACCCCAAGGUUUCUUCUUUGUUUUGUGACUGUAAUUAAAUGUUAGUCUAAUGUAUUUGGAAAUCAAAAAAGGAAAAUAACCACUUCAUCUCUAUCUAUCUUUUGCUCAGUUUAUUCCUGUAUUUCUGUACGCUUGUAUGAAAAACAUAGAGGCUUUCUGAGAGUGAAUAAUUUACCUCUGUGCUCGCAUUUUUGAAGACACUGACAAAUAUGUACACAUAUCAAUAAAGUCUUAUUAUAUCUCUCUGUCAAAA